rnacentral:rRNA from 1 species
UACGUAGGCAGCAAGCGUUGUUCGGAGUUACUGGGCGUAAAGGGUGUGUAGGCGGCUUCGUAAGUUCGGUGUGAAAUCUCCCGCUUAACUGGGAGGGUGCGCCGAAAACUGCGGAGCUGGAGCGCAGGAGAGGAAAGCAGAAUUCCUGGUGUAGCGGUGAAAUGCGUAGAUAUCAGGAGGAAUACCGGUGGUGAAGGCGGCUUUCUGGACUGCUGCUGACGCUGAUACACGAAAGCGUGGGGAGCAAACAGG